ACAACUUGAGUCACCAUCUACCUGGGGUGGGCUGAGAUCCAGAGAACUGCCUGUGGGGGAUGGAAAGGGGAACAGGUAGCCCCCACCUAAGCUCACAGUCAGGUGGGAACCUCCCCGCCACCAGUUGCCCAGGGGUUUUGGAGGCUGGCGGGCUUCUCCUCCUCAUCUUGUCUACCCUGUAUCUUGCAGCUUCUUCCAGCCUUUUCUUGCUCCAUGGGUCCUGUCUCCCUCAGAAGAAAAAUCACACCACUAGCAGUGCCAGAGUUUAACUCAUUCGCCCAAAGUCGUGCAAGUUACUAAUAAAGGCCAGGGUUUGAACUCGUAUUUAUAUUGCCUGGUUUAAAGGCUUUAGAGGGGCUUUGCUAGAGAAUCCAGGGGUCCUCUCAGUUUUAAUAUCUAUCCCCUUUUUAUUCACCAAACAGCAAAUGCAUUUCAAAGCAGUCUUUCAUCUAAAUUAUCUCAUCAUCUCAACAACCCUAUGAGUUCGAUGCAGAAACUGGUGCUCAGGAAGGUCAAGCCGCAUCCCCAAGGUCACACAGUCAUGGAGACAUAAUACCAACACAAGUCCACCUAACCUAAAGGAGCCUGGCUUGAACUACGGUGAUGCUCUCUCUGUUCCCACAGAAUGCAGAAUGAUAGCUAAAAGAGGCACCUGGAAUCACUCCUGUAAUCCCAGCAGUUUGGUAGGCUGAGAUGGGUGGAUCACAAGGUCAGGAGUUCGAGACCAGCCUGACCAACAUGGUGAAAUCCUGUCUCUACUAAAAAUACAAAAAUUAGCCAGGAGUGGUGGUGCAUGCCUGUAAUCCCAGUUACUCAGGAGGCUGAGGCAGGAGAAUCCCUUGAACCCGGGAGGCGGAGGUUGCAGUAAGCUGAGAUCACGCCACUGCACUCAAGCUUGGGUGACAGAAUGAGACUCCGUCUCAAAAAAAAAAAAAAAAAGAAAAGAAAAGAAAAAGGCACCCUGGAGCUGAUUCUUUUUCUCUUGGGUAUGCAUUUUUUCCUCAACUGAAGCUGUGGCUACUGGACCAAUUCCUUGGCACUGGAAAAAGCAGACUCUGAGGACUCUGAGGGACUUGGAAAUAGUUGGCCCCUGGGAAGUGACUCAGUGUCCCCAACACUCUCUCCCAUUGCCCAGUUUCUCAGCUUGGUGAUCUUACAGAAGGGCGUGGCUGGGCUGCUGGUAAUUUGCAGCUGACCUGGUGGAGAGAAGCCCCAGUAACUUCCUUGGCCUGAAUCUAAGCCCCUGCUGAAAAUGAACAUUUUGGCAGUUUCCUUUUCUUCCUACUCAACUUGGGCUCCCUGAAGCUCUUGCCCCUGAAACACAGCCCAGACACCUGGCCUGCCCUCCUGCCCUCCCAAGGGCACCGGUUUUGGAAGACACAACCAGGCAGGAGUUCCCACCUGCCACGCUGCUCCCCCAAGCACCACAGCAGCAAGGGGCAGGCACACAAUCUCUCCAUCAACAAUUACACAGCUUCUCUGUGCCAGACACCACACACACAGGCUCAAGGGAGAUGGUAGGGAACAAACCAUUCUGGCCCCUGCCCUCAUGGAAACUGCAGCCUCGUGGCGGAAAUGCACUGCAGGUCCAUAAGUGAAUACAUCAUGGUUUCAGACAGUGAUAAAUGCCUUGGACAGGAUGAAACAGGAUAACGGCAUAAACAGCAAUUGGUGGGGGUUUGAGGGGGGAGGGAAGGGACUGAAGGGGAAGGGAGCAGGCACCUGAAUGAGGAGGAGGCAGUUGUCUUGGUUAUCUAUAGCCACCUAACAAACCCCCAAACCUAGUGGCUUACAACAACCAUUUGUUAUUUUUUAUGAGUCUGGCUGGCCUGAGUGGUUCCUCUGCCCGUUUCUCCUGGUCACACAUGCAGCUGCAUUCAGCUGGAGUCACAGCUGAGCUGGAAGGUCCAAGAAGGCCUCUCACACACAUCUGGUGGUUGGUGCUGGCUGUUGGCUGGGGUGUCUCAGAUCCCUAUCACGUGGCCUCCCAUCCUCCCGCUGGUAGACCAGCUGCCUUAUGUGGUGGUCUAGGAGCAGCAUUCCAAGAGGGGGAAGGCACAAGCUUGCAAGAUCUCUUGCGGCCUAAGCUCCUGAACUCAUAAAGGGUCACUUCUGCCACAUUCUGUUGUCAGAGCAAGUCACAAGCCCAGCCCAGAUCCAAAGGGCAAGGAAAGGGAUGCCACUUCUUGAUGUGAGGGGAGCAGCAAAGUAUUUGUGGCCUUA
rnacentral:lncRNA from 1 species